AAGCAUCAACUGAUAGGCCGGGAGGGCUUUUGAUUUCCUGCCUGGCUUGCAUCCCGAUGCAAUAGCGAUCUUUCCCUGCGCUUUCUGUCUGCCCGUUCCCCGUAGCAGCUCAGAUUGAAUAAGGGAGAACAUUU